GAUGAACGCUAGCGGCAGGCUUAAUACAUGCAAGUCGAGGGGCAGCACGGUUAGCAAUAACUGGUGGCGACCGGCGCACGGGUGCGUAACACGUAUACAAUCUACCUUAAACAGGGGAUAGCCUUUCGAAAGAGAGAUUAAUACCCCGUAAUAAAUUGAACGGCAUCGUUUGAUUUUGAAAGCUCCGGCGGUUUGAGAUGAGUAUGCGUCUGAUUAGCUAGUUGGUGAGGUAACGGCUCACCAAGGCGACGAUCGAGUAGGGGAUCUGAGAGGACUAACCCCCACACUGGUACUGAGACACGGACCAGACUCCUACGGGAGGCAGCAGUAAGGAAUAUUGGUCAAUGGAGGCAACUCUGAACCAGCCAUGCCGCGUGCAGGAUGACGGCCCUAUGGGUUGUAAACUGCUUUUAUACAAGAGAAAACCCUGGUACGUGUACCAGGUUGAUAGUAUUGUAAGAAUAAGCAUCGGCUAACUUCGUGCCAGCAGCCGC
rnacentral:rRNA from 1 species